ensembl:lncRNA novel transcript
ACUUUAUAAAAACGGAGACGUGACGGUGGGGACGUGACCACAGCACUAAUCUCACCACACAUCACACCAUCAGAAGCGUCCAGUCCAGAAUAAUGGGACAGCCUACGAAGAUACAUCUGCUGGGCCAGCUCAGAGGUUCUGGCUCACGGGAUGAUGAAGAUAUGAAAAUUUGACUAUGGCACUGACAAGCCCAGAUGGCACCUCCAGGAGCUCCCCAUGCCCUCCUCUGAGGUGAAGUGUUCAGAGGCUGGACGAUUUUCUACUUAUCUUUGUAUCUUCAGAAUCCCACCCCAGGCUCAGCAUGCAGUAGUUGUUGGAAAAGUCUCUGUGGAUAUGCAAGCUCCUGGGAAGGUUUGACUGCUGUAAUUUCUGCAGCAUAUUCACUGUCCACCCAAGGGACACAUCCAUGGGCCUGCUCUCAGUGACUGUGACUUCUUCCACAUCUAGGAACCUCUCUUCAACUCCUUCCUGUGCCCAGAUUCACAUUAUUCACUUAAGUAAAUCAAAGCUGAUUUAAAUGGAUGUUUUCAAGAACUUGGAUGUUUUGUGGCCACUG